AACGUAGGAGGCGAGCGUUAUCCGGAUUUACUGGGUGUAAAGCGCGUGCAGGCGGUCUGUUAAGUUGGAUGUGAAAGCUCCUGGCUCAACUGGGAGAGGUCGUUCAAGACUGGCAGACUGGAGAGCAGUAGGGGAAGGUGGAAUUCCGGGUGUAGUGGUGAAAUGCGUAGAUAUCCGGAGGAACACCAGUGGCGAAAGCGGCCUUCUGGACUGCAUCUGACGCUCAGACGCGAAAGCUAGGGGAG
rnacentral:rRNA from 1 species